rnacentral:rRNA from 1 species
CCUACGGGAGGCAGCAGUGGGGAAUUUUGGACAAUGGGCGCAAGCCUGAUCCAGCAAUGCCGCGUGCAGGAAGAAGGCCUUCGGGUUGUAAACUGCUUUUGUACGGAACGAAACGGCCUGGAUUAAUACCCUGGGCUAAUGACGGUACCGUAAGAAUAAGCACCGGCUAACUACGUGCCAGCAGCCGCGGUAAUACGUAGGGUGCAAGCGUUAAUCGGAAUUACUGGGCGUAAAGCGUGCGCAGGCGGUUUUGUAAGACAGUCGUGAAAUCCCCGGGCUCAACCUGGGAAUUGCGAUUGUGACUGCAAAGCUGGAGUGCGGCAGAGGGGGAUGGAAUUCCGCGUGUAGCAGUGAAAUGCGUAGAUAUGCGGAGGAACACCGAUGGCGAAGGCAAUCCCCUGGGCCUGCACUGACGCUCAUGCACGAAAGCGUGGGGAGCAAACAGGAUUAGAUACCCUGGUAGUCCACGCCCUAAACGAUGUCAACUGGUUGUUGGGUCUCUUCUGACUCAGUAACGAAGCUAACGCGUGAAGUUGACCGCCUGGGGAGUACGGCCGCAAGGUUGAAACUCAAAUGAAUUGACGG